AGACAAGUUCAAGACAGCCAUCUAAUAAGACAAAGAUUAUACUCGCAUAUAGGUGUAAGGCAUUGUGCGAUUUUUGAUUCAACUACUUUAAGAGUUUAUAUUAUCAUCCGAAAAAGUUUAUCUACUGUGGAAGAACCUUCUUUAGGUACCUUCGCUAAGAAGCAUCUCAGUUUACAGCUGUAACUAUCCUGUGACGAAGCUUUGGAAGUUAUAAGGUUCUUAUAUUGUGCAAAUUCUAAAGGAAUUUCCAAGGUUGGACGUGUAAUGUGUGUGGGGACUGCCAAUGGCUAUCGUCAGACCAGAGGUAUUUGUAUGGACAUUUAUGUAAAUGAAUUGGCUUUUGUUAUAUUUUUUGGUUGCCAAUAGUAGUAGUUAAGCACCCUAUUCGUCAACGAGUUGUAUACUCUCUCUCUCUCUCUCUCUCUCAAUAUUGUAUUUGUAUUGGUCUCUAGGUUGGCGUUUUGAGUUUUGAAUCUUUUGAUGCAGUAACCUGUAAGGCUGUAACUGGAAUCUGAGCUAAAAAUGGUUUGUUAAUGUCAGAUAAUUAGCUGAGCAUUUUGAUAUCUUGAAGAUUGUUAAUGUAUAUGUAGAUUUUUCAUCAAGAGCCUGUUUUAUAGAGAACAAGAAGUGUUAUAUGUACCUUUGCUAUUUCUUUCUUACUCUUACCAGAAAAUUAAUGUUUCUCUCCUUACUUUUUCCUUGUGUCUAUGAAGAUGAAGUCUUACAUCUGGCUCCAAACUACUGAUGGCUCAAUCCAAGAAGUAGAGGAAGAGGUUGCUAUGUUCUGCCCCAUGAUAUGUCGAGAAGUACUUCAGACUGGCAUGGGAUCUUCCAAAAAUUAUGCAAUAAAACUUCCUCAGAGGGUGAAUCCUGCGGUCCUGGGCUUGAUACUGGAUUACUGUCGUUUUCAUCAGUUACCUGGUCACUCUAAUAAGGUAGGAUUUCCUUGCUCUCCUCUAAUAAGAAAACCAAACAUACUCGGUGUCAGAUCAGGGUCUCGGAGGUAAGAUGUAUGCAGAUGCAUACCAUACCUCUUCUUAGAAAGAGCAAAGAGGUCGUUACUAGAAAGAUUCCUGGCUCAAACAUUACUAAACACAUAAAUGGGUUAAUGCUCUAUUUCAUCACUGUACUGGAUCAAAACUUUCAGUUGGCCUACCCAGUGAAAAAAGUUUUCAAUUAAAUAAUAAAGUAUUUAAAAACUUGCAAUCAUGUGAUUAAGUUUAAACAAAAUUUCAGCGCCGUUAAGUGAUCUUUGACUUUAACGGAUUACCGUUAAAUUUAACAGAAUUACAAAUUUUUGACAAAUUUGCAUGUUUUUAGCGGAGGUUCUGAUAGACGUAGAAGAAAGAAGGGAAAUGGACCCUCCCUCACCUUGCCAUAACCACCAGAUUAUGGCUCCCCUUUUCUUUCCGGCCGAGCACCGCCAUUUACGGCGUCAUGGAGCUUGCCGGAUUUUUAUUCAUCCCACUCCAGAUCAUAUCCUCAUGAUACCAGGAAUUCAACCAUGCCAUCAAAACUGCCAACCACCUAACCGUUUAGCCAGAUCUACACGCCUACGCCCUUAGUUCUUGCCCAGAAUCAGUAUAAAUGAAACCCCCAAAUCUCAAUUACAAACUUAACCCGUUAACUGAAAAUUUUCAUUUACUCGGUAGGUCAACUGAAAAUUUUGAUUGAUUACAGUGAUGAAAUUGAACAUUAACCCGUUAAAAACUUAACGGAGACUGACGGAGUGGCCUAUUUGAAAGUUUUUAAUGUGCGAUUUUUGAUUCAACUACUUUAAGAGUUUAUAUUAUCAUCCGAAAAAGUUUAUCUACUGUGGAAGAACCUUCUUUAGGUACCUUCGCUAAGAAGCAUCUCAGUUUACAGCUGUAACUAUCCUGUGACGAAGCUUUGGAAGUUAUAAGGUUCUUAUAUUGUGCAAAUUCUAAAGGAAUUUCCAAGGUUGGACGUGUAAUGUGUGUGGGGACUGCCAAUGGCUAUCGUCAG
rnacentral:lncRNA from 1 species